CAGAGGGGUGCGAGCGUUAAUCGGAUUUACUGGGCGUAAAGCGUGCGUAGGCGGCUUUUUAAGUCGGAUGUGAAAUCCCUGAGCUUAACUUAGGAAUUGCAUUCGAUACUGGGAAGCUAGAGUAUGGGAGAGGAUGGUAGAAUUCCAGGUGUAGCGGUGAAAUGCGUAGAGAUCUGGAGGAAUACCGAUGGCGAAGGCAGCCAUCUGGCCUAAUACUGACGCUGAGGUACGAAAGCAUGGGAGCAAACAGGAUU
rnacentral:rRNA from 1 species